rnacentral:lncRNA from 1 species
GGGGAGAGGCGACGGGAGGAGGCACUUUUCUUUUUUCACUAAGCGGUAAGUUACCAGUGAAAUAAAUAAUCUCCAACUCCACGAGAAGGUCUAAAACUGGUGCUUCUGGAGCACCGCAUGAGGUACUGCACGAAAAACAUGGAUCUGACCCCAACUCCACAUUUUUUCCGGAGCUGCAGUCAGUACUCAUUGGAGUUGGACGUGUUUGGCAAAAAGUUUUGUGGAGUUG